AAAAGGAAGGUUUUGAGUGAGGAACAGAAGGGUUAAAAUUAAGAGACCACAACAAAUUAAACGAGGAGGGUAUAUCUGCAGAUCACAAGUCGGGGGCAUAACUUAAUAUGGGGGUUCCUUACUAUUAACUUACGCCCAUUGACGUUUGCUAUUGGUCUGGUGUUUUUUAUUAAAUGCGUGCGUUUUGAACGAAGAAGGAAGAAUUACAGAGAUGUCGUGGACCAGGUGAGGAAGACCAAGCACCUAAGAUGCAGAAUUAGAAGAGCUUCCAGAAGAAUAUGUCUGCCCAAGACCACCAAGGCAAGAUACAGAAGUGAGACUGGUGUGGGGUCUUCUCUUUCCUUCCUGGAAUCAUUGGGAUCUUCAGACGUCCGUAGGUCUUCACUUUAACCAGUCCAGGAUCCUUUCCUUUCAGUUAUAAUAAUGUUGCCCAAAACAUCAGAAACACUUGUUUUAUGAACUCUGCUCUGUAGCGCCGGUUGGAACUGCCUGCAUUCUGCAGAGACAUCCUGAGACAGCAGGACAUCUGGAGUUCCUACCCCUCUUCUAAACUGCUCCGCUGUAGUGUUUGGUCAGGAGAAAUACAACCACCUGUCACUAAGUCUGAGCACUCACCUGAGACAUAGCCUGGAACAAUACUUCAUGCCGUCUCCAGUGGAAUGUAAAUGCUGGGACAGUUCAAGCAGCAUGGCAUCUGUGUCCACCCACUGCCCCGGUGAGCUUCCCCACCCCCGUGAUCCAGGGACGGACUGGGACUAAAAAACGGCCCUGGACUUUGGCUAGGCCCGGCCCAAAGCAAUCGGCGCGUGGAAACUCGACGACAACAACAAUAACGCCUGCCGCCUGGCAUGAGUGUCACAAGACCAUCCAAAUUAUAGCAAUAGCACUGAUGUUGACUAGAUGUUGUGUUAAAAGCAUAUUAUUCUAGAUUAUUGCUGUCUUAAAAUGAAUUUAUUACUUAAUAUUCUUAAUUAAUUUAUGCAGUAAUUAAUCUUACUGCACAAAUAAUAAUACCACAUCUAAAUUAAAAUACACCAUUACAAAUGUAACUUCUGUAUUCAAAAUCUUCAAAGUUUGUAAGCAUUAACUGUAACGUUACCAACAUUUUUUAAAGUAAAAGCACAACAUAUUUCUUAUAUUAGCUACUGCAUGUGGCAUUCUACAGCAAAAAUGUUGAAGUUUAGCUGUUUUAACUACUGUAAUCAUUAAAAAUGUAGCAAGCUGAAUAUCACUUCCUAACAUCCCUAGCAAGUAACUCUUUCUCUUCUCAUGUUCCAUACUUGCCCUGUAUCUGCCUGUGGAACCAGCUCAUCUUUCUGUUCUUCACUGCUGGUUCUGCUGCUAAUAUUUAACUGCGAGGUGCUGCUGCUGGCUGUGCAGCUAAAUAUUUCAGUUAGUUUGUGACAUUUAGCAGCUUUACUAUCUAAAUUCCGCUAUCUACAUUUUUUUUUUCUUUCGCCUACUCAGCCCCACCCUUUUCUUUUAGUUUUUUCCCCGCGGCCGCGUUAUGCAUAUUGUUUGUUCGUUUCUAUGCUUCUAUCUAACGUCUUUGCUGUUGGUUUCUUCCUCCUCUUCCACUUCUUCUCCUUACUUGGUGGCCACGGCCAUAGACAUCUUAUUUAAAGGCUAGACGUCUCAAGGCGCAGUCACUUCUGCCAUCACCGGUGGCCAUCUUGUCACAGGCAGGCUUCCUGUCGGGCUCUGUGGUACCUAAUAUAAGGUUCAGCCAGGACCACUUCGAACUUCUCUUCAACUCCAUCAGAGUAUCUGAAUAACAACCCUAAUGCCAGCCAGUUCAAGUACAUCUUUAGGAUGUAAAGCUGAUGGCCCAGUGUGGGGUUGUUAAACCAUGCAGAGGCAAUGUGACGGCACAGGAUGACACAGAGUCCCUACCAGCUGUGAUGGACACCUCUACAAGCCUGUCAGCUGUAGAUGUGUCCUCUGCAGCAGGAGGAGAAGAUCUUCCAUCCCCGUUUGCUGACAUUCCUGCCCUAGUACAUGAUCACAGGCUCUGAAGAAGCUGUCGUGUGAUGUCUGACGUGCCAGCCUGGUGACAGAUGCUGCAUCUGCCAUCAAGGACCAGAGCUACCACCUGCUGAAUUUAAAAAACAAUGGAGGUCUGGUGAUUCCAUCAGAGGGAACCGUGAGGGUCGUCAGGGCAGCAGAGUGGGUCAUUCGGCAGUCAUCAGGCAGUACCAGACAAUCACAGCCCAUCAAACUGCUUGAGGUUGUUUACAUUGUCUGAGAAAGGAUCGGUUCAGAGGAUGUUUGUGUUGGGAUAGACAGUAUAGACAGCUACCACCAUAGGCUGUUAAAAAUAAUUCUGUCCCUGUUUUUUAAGUUAAGGCUGCACCACAUCGCCAGAAUUAUAAUCCUCAGCUUACAGAGCAACAACAUGCAACAGAAACUUAAUGAAACUGUCCUUUUCAAAGGGCAUUAGCCCAAGGUAUGUGUUUUCAAGGUACUGUCCUCUUUUACUUCAACAGUAGUGUAGUGCUCUCUACAGCAUUUAUUUAUUUGUAUAUAUAAAUGAAUGAUUUAUUUAUAUUUGUAAAGGGGAAUCAUGUACCUAUUUUUUGUGUGCAAAUAAAUGUUACACUUAUAAUAGUUUAAAAAUAGAGACUUGUGUAAUUAUUCCAUAUUUUUUGUAGUCAUUCUAUAUCAGAACCCCUG
ensembl:lncRNA